UCCGGCGUGGUGUAACUGGCAGCACACGGGCUUUUGGUGCCCUUGGUUCGGGUUCAAAUCCUGGCGCCGGAG
rnacentral:tRNA from 1 species